GAUGAACGCUGGCGGCGUGCCUAAUACAUGCAAGUCGAGCGAACAGACGAGGAGCUUGCUCCUCUGACGUUAGCGGCGGACGGGUGAGUAACACGUGGAUAACCUACCUAUAAGACUGGGAUAACUUCGGGAAACCGGAGCUAAUACCGGAUAAUAUAUUGAACCGCAUGGUUCAAUAGUGAAAGACGGUUUUGCUGUCACUUAUAGAUGGAUCCGCGCCGCAUUAGCUAGUUGGUAAGGUAACGGCUUACCAAGGCAACGAUGCGUAGCCGACCUGAGAGGGUGAUCGGCCACACUGGAACUGAGACACGGUCCAGACUCCUACGGGAGGCAGCAGUAGGGAAUAUUACGCAAUGGGCGAAAGCUUGACGGAGCAACGACGCGUGAGUGAUGAAGGUCUUCGGAUCGUAAAACUCUGUUAUUAGGGAAGAACAAAUGUGUAAGUAACUAUGCACGUCUUGACGGUACCUAAUCAGAAAGCCACGGCUAACUACGUG
rnacentral:rRNA from 1 species